GCGCGGAUUAACGCGUGAAUGGGUAACGUGGGCGCACGUGUGGGUUAACGAAUUCGAGCAUGGAAAUUAUAGAAUUAAAUUGUGAUUAUAGAAAUAACUUGAACAUCGAUAGAUCGAUCAAUGUGUCGAAUUUCAAAUAUAAGUACUUAUUCGUAAUAUUUAAAUUUGUACAUGAAAUAAUCGUGCCUUUCUUCGUGAUUUUCGUGAUUCUGAGGAAUAUUUUCUGUGACGAAAAUAUGCUCGUGAUCCCGGAAUACCUUUCACGAAGCGAUCCUCAAGAUGGAAAACAAAAAGGGGGAAGAGAAGAGCAUCGGUUGCGUAUCUCUGAACUCGAUACUUUUGCCGCAAUUGUGCGCUCAUUGCAAUAAGAUUUUUGUAUCGCGGUUUUGUAACGCGGCGAGGGCGUGCGCUAUGCUUUUAAACCGAGCCAAUAAAUUAAUGUUACCAGGCGAACAGGAAGCAAGGAGCGCGCACUCUGUA